rnacentral:rRNA from 1 species
AGAGUUUGAUCCUGGCUCAGGAUGAACGCUAGCUACAGGCUUAACACAUGCAAGUCGAGGGGCAGCAUAUAGAUAGCUUGCUAUUUAUGAUGGCGACCGGCGCACGGGUGAGUAACGCGUAUCCAACCUUCCCUAUACUAGAGGAUAGCCCGGCGAAAGUCGGAUUAAUACUCUAUGUUUUCCAAAGAUGGCAUCUGACUUGGAACAAAGGUUUACCGGUAUAGGAUGGGGAUGCGUCUGAUUAGGUUGUUGGCGGGGUAACGGCCCACCAAGCCUGCGAUCAGUAGGGGUUCUGAGAGGAAGGUCCCCCACAUUGGUACUGAGACACGGACCAAACUCCUACGGGAGGCAGCAGUGAGGAAUAUUGGACAAUGGCCGGAAGGCUGAUCCAGCCAUGCCGCGUGAAGGAUAAGGUCCUAUGGAUUGUAAACUUCUUUUGAGUGGGAGCAAUAAGGGUGUCGUGACAUCCGAUGAGAGUACCAUUCGAAUAAGCAUCGGCUAACUCCGUGCCAGCAGCCGCGGUAAUACGGAGGAUGCGAGCGUUAUCCGGAUUUAUUGGGUUUAAAGGGUGCGUAGGCGGUUUGUCAAGUCAGCGGUGAAACGCAAGGGCUUAACCCUUGACCUGCCGUUGAAACUGAUUGACUAGAAUGCGGAUGCUGUGGGAGGAAUGUGUGGUGUAGCGGUGAAAUGCAUAGAUAUCACACAGAACACCGAUUGCGAAGGCAUCUCACAAAUCCGUGAUUGACGCUGAGGCACGAAAGUGUGGGGAUCAAACAGGAUUAGAUACCCUGGUAGUCCACACUGUAAACGAUGAUGACUCGCUGUCGGCGAUAUACAGUCGGUGGCCAAGCGAAAGCGAUAAGUCAUCCACCUGGGGAGUACGACCGCAAGGUUGAAACUCAAAGGAAUUGACGGGGGCCCGCACAAGCGGAGGAACAUGUGGUUUAAUUCGAUGAUACGCGAGGAACCUUACCCGGGCUCGAACGGUAGACGAACGCUGUAGAGAUACAGCGGUCCUUCGGGACGUCUAUCGAGGUGCUGCAUGGUUGUCGUCAGCUCGUGCCGUGAGGUGUCGGCUUAAGUGCCAUAACGAGCGCAACCCUUGCCAUUAGUUACCAGCACGUAAAGGUGGGGACUCUAGUGGGACUGCCACCGUAAGGUGAGAGGAGGGGGGGGAUGACGUCAAAUCAGCACGGCCCUUACGUCCGGGGCGACACACGUGUUACAAUGGUGGGUACAGAGGGCAGCUACCUGGCGACAGGAUGCAAAUCUCGAAAACCCAUCUCAGUUCGGAUCGGAGUCUGCAACUCGACUCCGUGAAGUUGGAUUCGCUAGUAAUCGCGCAUCAGCCAUGGCGCGGUGAAUACGUUCCCGGGCCUUGCACUCACCGCCCGUCA